AAGCCUUAAAAAAAGCUUGUUGUUGAAAUUGCUUAACAACCUUAUCAUCCACAUUCUUUCAAUUUCUCCUUAGCUUUGGGAAACCCAACACCUACCACAGUUGACCACAGUGCUGGUCCAGAGAAGUUCCUCAUCCCUUUGAGCUUGUUGAUCCUUCUUGCGAUAGCAACUUUGAUCACCUGGUUCCUGUUAAAAAGACAUAAGAACACCACAGCAGAAUCUUCAGCAACAACGACUGCAGAGGAAGUAACAUACAGCACUGUAGCCAUGAGGAAUAAACCCUCAAGCCAGGUAAGGGACUGUGUGAAAAUGACUGGCCUAAACCUUUUUGUUACAUUAUUAACAGAUCCUUUAAAGAUAUAUUAAAAUUGUAUUUUGACCUCUGAUUUUGACCUGUUAUACUAGAUUUCUAGUGUGCAGUUCCAAACAUUUGAAACGACAGUCAACUCCUAUGAUAAUGGAUAUUCUUCUUUUAUUUUGGUUGCCUCAAAAUAUCCUCUAUUUAAGUAACAUCUGGUUUAUUCCUUCGUCAGGCUCAAGAGGAAAUAACAAACAGUUAUUUCAAGCAUGUAAGAAAAAAAUCAGCAACAUAGUCCUGAACCACUAUGAACAUAACAUUUCUCAAUCGAUCUGUUUUAAAUUUUUCCCUUUGUUCUUACACAGGGGUCAGAUCCAGGGGGGGAUGUGAUAUACAGCUCUGUGGUAAUAUUGAACCAAACAAA